UUUCACUGCAACCGCAGCCCAGCCUUAUUCCUCAAACUUGACAUUGCCGGCGCUUUUGACUCGGUUUCGUGGAGUUAUCUGCUGGAUCUUCUCCAACACCUCGGUUUUGGUCACCGUUGGAGAGACAUGGUUUCACUUUUAUGGAGUUCAGCAUCUUCCAAAAUUCUUGUUAAUGGUCAGCUUGGGGACAGAUUCAUCCACCGCCAGGGCCUUCGCCAGGGCAACCCUUUAUCACCUAUGCUCUUCACUAUAGCAAUAGCCCCGCUGCAUUGGAUCUUCCAAAAAGCUGCCGAGUUGGGUCUGCUUACCCCGCUUGAUCUGCCUCCCUCCAAACUUCGUGUCAGCCUGUAUGCCGAUGAUGCUGCCCUUUUCAUUCACCCUUCACCUCUAGAUGUCCUGUUGGUCCAAUUGAUCCUCACUUGCUUCGGCAAAGCCUCGGGUCUGCAUGCUAACACCAACAAGUGCGCGUUCUACCCUAUCCGCUGUGAGCACCUUCAUGUUCCUACACUGCUGCAAUCCUUCCUAGUACCUAUCAAGUCCUUUCCUUGUGUCUACUUGGGUCUGCCGCUCCAUUACCGUGCUAUUUCCAAAGCUGACCUUCAACCACUCCUUGACAAAAUAGCCGCUAAGCUUCAGAGAUGGAGAGGCAAACUCUUAUCGUAUGCUGCUCGGCUCACUCUCAUUAAUUUGGUCCUUUCAGCCAUUCCCAUAUAUCUUCUCUCCAUCUUUAAAGUUGGACGAUGGGCCAUUAAGCAGAUCGAUAAGAUGAGAAGGAACUUUCUUUGGAAAGUUGACCCUGAUGCCAGCCGUGCCACCUGCCUAGUCAGUUGGAGGAAAGUUUGUCGCCCCAAACUUUUGGGGGGGCUGGGCAUCAUUGACUUGCACUCUUUCGGUCGGGCUCUGCGACUGUGA
rnacentral:rRNA from 1 species